UACGAGAGGCCCAAACGUUAUUCGGAUUUACUGGGCUUAAAGAGUUCGUAGGCGGCUUGGAAAGUGGGGUGUGAAAGCCCUUGGCUUAACUGAGGAAGUGCAUCCGAAACUGGCAGGCUAGAGUACUAAAGAGGGUCGCGGAAUUCCCGGUGUAGAGGUGAAAUUCGUAGAUAUCGGGAGGAACACCGGUGGCGAAGGCGGCGACCUGGGUAGAUACUGACGCUGAGGUGCGAAAGCGUGGGGAGCAAACAGG
rnacentral:rRNA from 1 species